CCUACGGGAGACAGCAGUGAGGAAUAUUGGUCAAUGGGCGUAAGCCUGAACCAGCCAAGUCGCGUGAGGGAUGACUGCUCUAUGGAUCGUAAACCUCUUUUAUAAGGGAAUAAAGAGUGGGACGUGUCCCGUUUUGUCUGUACCUUAUGAAUAAGGAUCGGCUAACUCCGUGCCAGCAGCCGCGGUAAUACGGAGGAUCCGAGCGUUAUCCGGAUUUAUUGGGUUUAAAGGGUGCGUAGGCGGGUUUUUAAGUCAGUGGUGAAAGUGUGUGGCUUAACCUUAGAAUUGCCAUUGAAACUGGAAGACUUGAGUACAGUUGAGGUAGGCGGAAUAAGUGGUGUAGCGGUGAAAUGCUUAGAUAUCACGCAGAACUCCGAUUGCGAAGGCAGCCUACCAGACUGCGACUGACGCUGAUGCACGAGAGCGUGGGUAUCAAACAGGAUUAGAUACCCGAGUAGUC
rnacentral:rRNA from 1 species